UUUAUAAGGAAACAUGUGUUUGUGAUUAUCAGUUAAGAUAUGUCUUUUCUAUUUUCUUUGGUUCCAUCGCCUUUUCUCUCUCGCUUUGCUCCGGCUUAAACAUUGCCGCAAUCCAAAUAAUCAGGGACAACUUCAGUACUGAAGAUCUCAACUAAGAUUUUGAGGAGGUUUCAGCCUUUCAGGUAAGGUUUAUCUCAUAUCUUAAAGGACCCAAUUUGUUGCUUUUCUGUAAAUAGAGACUUGGGUUGUUAUAUCCCAUUCGUCGUCUUCUCUUAAGAUUUAGAAAACAUGAAUGGUGUCUCUAUUUCCAGAAGUUCAAAAUAGAUCACAUCGCGGAAACUGCGUAAAUAUCUGGUAUGAUAGCCACCGCACCAUCUUGCCUUUUUUUUUUUCCACCUUUCUGUAAAGUGUUCUACAUUUCAUCUUCUCGGAUGAUUGCAACGCCAUUUAUGCCUAUUUUCUCUCUGCUAUUUACUCUCUGUAACUUUUCUGUUGUUCAGCCCUUUGUUUUGUUUGUGAAUGCUUACAAUUUCAGCUUGCAUAUUGCAUUGGAACUUCAAGAUGGGAAUCCAUCACUGAAAGAUCCGGGUUCAACCCUUUGUUCCGAGCAUACUGUUUGUGAAAUGAGAGGUAUAAUAAGUUAUUAACACUGAUUUACUUCUUUUUAAAUUUAAUGAUGUACGAUCAUAGUCGCUAUCCCUUUUAGUAAGAAAUGGAAUAAGAAUCAAAGUAAAAUUAGGACGGAUUUCAUAUUACGCUUUUGCUUUUAUAGGUUUUAAUCUGUAUCUUUUUUAAGAAAUCGAUUUAUGUGCUUUCGUGUGUGUAAUUUUAUUGACUGACCUUGAAAUUUCGAUCUAUUUUUUAUUUAUUUAUAGGCAUAGUUUUUGGGAUAGCUAGAUGGAGUAACGAUUUAUGGUAGCUCGAAGUAUACACCACUCCGAGAAUCUUAAAGGCAUCAAUUGUCUCGUAAGAUUUUAAAAAUCUUUAGUUGUGCUUCAGUAAAGUUGGAUGCAAAUAAUCCAGAAAAGUAAAUUUUGGUUAUGGCAAGACAACAUACUAGGAAGAAGGUUUUAAAAGCUAACUUUCUGUAUUUUAGAGUUCUGAAGAUUGAUAAAGAGAAGUUUGGUUAUUUGUGCAUCAGUGUUAUAUGUGCGAAUAAUUGCAUUCUUGCUAAGAAUUAUUCUGAGAAAAAUAUAAUGCCUUCAAAUGUGGAGAUAUAGUAUAAUUAAGUUUGUAGUUGCUCUUUUUUUCUUUUUGAUAAUGACUCUUCUAAAAGAUAUACAUAGGUUUCUUCUUUGUCUUUUUUUAGUUUCUUCAGUUUCUACAGGUCGUCUCCAGUCUUUUGACUCUGUUCAAGCUACAGGUAUGCACAUAUCUUCUUCUUUUUCUUGAUUUAUUUUUUUAGGUCAGCUUUUUUUGACUUCCCUCCAUCCUUCUUAGUUUUGCUAUUUAAUGGAUGUAGAAAACCUUCAUAGCAAUAAAAAAUUCAUUCUUGAUUUCUCUUCUGUGAAGCCUAAAUGCUUCUCGGUCUCGGCUUGAUAAUGAUGAAACAGAAGAAGAAAUUCGUUAUCA